CCGGGACUGCUCGGCCUUGCCCAGCUUCAGCGGGUCGGGUCUGCAAAGCUUGGCCUCGAUCUCAUCCAAGAGCUCAUCCAGGUCCUGCGCCAUCUUGAAACCGUGGAGUCUUUCCCUGCCGCACUAGGAGGUUUCCAUGGUCUCCGUUUCUCGCCCCUUGUGUCAGACUGGAUCAGAUCCAAGCUUGCCUUUAAAUACUGUGAUUUCACCCAAUGGACUCCUUUCUCAGAAUUAAACCCAUGGUGAGAUGAAUGAAGCUUGAUAGCAGUUUACCCUGAGAUAUAUACCCAACAGCCACCAAGUUGCCGAUGCCGCUUUGGUUUUAUACUGAACUCGCUGGGCAGACGACUUCACCAACGUGCCCCAGAAGAUCACCUUUCUAGAGCCCUACCCCACUAGGGAAAGAUAGAAACAGGCUGCGGGUAUGGACAGACAAUGUUCGUGUCCAGUGGAGAAGCAAUUACAGAAGCCAGACCUUCUACCUUCUGCACUCCAGAAAGAACUUUGGCCCAUACUCCUGGAGGGGGAGAAAUGUUAGGGGAAGAUGAUCAGAGGGCUCUGAACUCCCAACUCCAUCAGAACCUGGAGAGAGAAGAGGGAAGAAAGAAGGAAGGAUAUUUGGAAGUAGUAGUAAGUAUAGGUGUGACUUAGAAAGGAAGAGAAGGCAGCAUCAUAGAAAAAAAUGGGCACACAUAUACAAAUAUAG